AGGUUUGAUCAUACCAGCACUGAUGCACCGGAGCCCAUUAGAACUCCGUAGUAAAGCGUGCUCGGGCGAAAGUAGUACUAGGAUGGGUGACCUCCUGGGAAGUCCUCGUGUUACACCUA
rfam:Vigna angularis cultivar Jingnong 6 chromosome 10, whole genome shotgun sequence.